AAUCAACGCUGGCGGCGUGCCUAACACAUGCAAGUCGAACGCGAAAGUCCCGCAAGGGAUGAGUAGAGUGGCAAACGGGUGAGUAACACGUGGGUGACCUGCCUUCGAGCGGGGGAUAACGUCCCGAAAGGGACGCUAAUACCGCAUGACAUCCUGCCUUUGAAGAGGUGGAGAUCAAAGCUGGGGAUCGCAAGACCUAGCACUUGAAGAGGGGCCCGCGUCUGAUUAGCUAGUUGGUGGGGUAACGGCUCACCAAGGCAACGAUCAGUAUCCGGCCUGAGAGGGCGGACGGACACACUGGGACUGAGACACGGCCCAGACUCCUACGGGAGGCAGCAGUGGGGAAUUGUUCGCAAUGGGCGCAAGCCUGACGACGCAACGCCGCGUGGAGGAUGAA
rnacentral:rRNA from 1 species